AACGAACGCUGGCGGCAGGCCUAACACAUGCAAGUCGAGCGAGACCUUCGGGUCUAGCGGCGGACGGGUGAGUAACGCGUGGGAACGUGCCCUUUUCUGCGGAAUAUCCUCGGUAAACUGAGCGUAAUACCGCAUACGCCCUCUGGGGGAAAAAUUUAUCGGCAAAUAAUCGGCCCGCGUUGGAUUAGCUAGUUGGUAGAGUAAUGGACUACCAAGCCUACGAUCCAUAGCUGAUCCGAGAGGAUGAACAACCACACUGAGACUGAGACACGGCCGAGACUCCUGCGGGAGGCAGCAGUGGCGGAUCUUAGACAAUGGGGCCAACCCUGAUCGAGCCAUCCCGCGUGAGUGCUGAAGGCCUUAGGGUUGUAAAGUUAUUUCAGCUGGGAAGAUCAUGACGGUACCAGCAGAAGAGGCCCCGGCUAACUCCGUG
rnacentral:rRNA from 1 species